rnacentral:snoRNA from 1 species
AAGACUAUACUUUCAGGGAUCAUUUCUAUAGUACGUUACUAGAGAAGUUCCUCUGAUCGUGUAGGGCACCCGAAACCACGAGGAGGAGGCACAGCGUUCUCUCCUGAGCGUGAAGCCAGCUCUAGGUGU